GGACAUGUUCUUAGCAUGUUCUUAAAAUUUGGUGAAAUAUCAGCCCCGACAUGUUCUUAGCAUGUUCUUAAAAUUUGGUGAAAUCUCAGGCUGGAGGUUCUUAUAAAAAAGGAGUGUACACCCCGCUGCACAUCCAGGGCUUUCACGGGUGCUUAAAAUCCUAGAAAAGCCUGAAUUUUAAAAAUUAAAUUCAAAAGUCAUGGAAAAUAAUCACCCGGAAGAAAACUAUUGAGACGUUGAGGCCACUUCUUUUCAUGUGCCGUUCCAAGUGUAAAUUUAUGUUUAUUUCUAAUGACCUGUGAAAAGUGAGUAUUUUAUUUUAGAUUUUAUAAACCUUUAAAAAGACGGUAACGUGACUUCAUUUUUUUGUCCGUGAUCUUGGUAACGCAAUCUUUAAGAUGAUUUGCUGAAUAACAAUAGAGCGCUACCUUGCGAAAUUUCCCUGCACGUGAAAAUGUCUCCCAGGUCCACAACAUAAAUAAUUAGAGGGUUUUCGAUGAGCAUGCAUGUCUUUUGGCUCGGAACAGCGAAGGGUUCAAACCACUUUAUUCUCGACUUCGUACGACUGGCCACGGACGGGACUUGGCGAGUAACUGUAUGGGAAGGAUCCUUAAAGCUCCACCGAUACAAGGUGUUCCUCUGGAGCAAAACAUCGGAAUUGACAAAGAGAGUCAGUGUGUGCCUGCAUAUUUUUACCAGCAUUGCGUCCAAACUUGCACGGGGCGUGAAGCCAGUAGAGACUGCCAGUGGAGAUUGACAGAACCGUCGAAAAACAUUCAGUUAGGGGCGGGGAAGUUUGUCAUAUAUGUGGACUCGCAGAAACAAGUGCUUUGUGAGGUAAAAACGUCGAUUAACUGCUUUGGAGAACGCUGUGCAAAAGGUUCAGUGUUACCAAAGGGCGUAGGGAGGAAAUUCAAUAAGCACGGUACGCUUUUUUUUUUGUUUCUAGAAAAUCUACGCCCUUUGUUCACCUAUCUAACCUUAACAAAAACGCGAAUGUUCUAAUUUAACUAUUUAUUGUUUUUCUGUUCAUUGAGUGUCGUUAGAACCAAUAGGAAAUGUUGCGAAUAUAAAUGUUGUAAAGAGAAAAUUACUUAGUUCAAGGGAAAGCCUUAAUUACAGAAACAAUUGAAAUAAAAGAGAAUGGGGUAAA